GCCUGAGUGGCUCAUUCAGUUGAGCGUCCGACUUUGGCUCAGGUCACGAUCUCACAGUCUGUGAGUUCAAGCCCCGCUUCGGGCU
rnacentral:tRNA from 1 species